AUUGAACGCUGGCGGCAGGCCUAACACAUGCAAGUCGAGCGGAUGAAGGGAGCUUGCUCCUGGAUUCAGCGGCGGACGGGUGAGUAAUGCCUAGGAAUCUGCCUGGUAGUGGGGGAUAACGUCCGGAAACGGGCGCUAAUACCGCAUACGUCCUGAGGGAGAAAGUGGGGGAUCUUCGGACCUCACGCUAUCAGAUGAGCCUAGGUCGGAUUAGCUAGUUGGUGGGGUAAAGGCCUACCAAGGCGACGAUCCGUAACUGGUCUGAGAGGAUGAUCAGUCACACUGGAACUGAGACACGGUCCAGACUCCUACGGGAGGCAGCAGUGUGGAAUAUUGGACAAUGGGCGAAAGCCUGAUCCAGCCAUGCCGCGUGUGUGAAGAAGGUCUUCGGAUUGUAAAGCACUUUAAGUGGGGAGGAAGGGCAGUAAGUUAAUACCUUGCUGUUUUGACGUUACCAACAGAAUAAGCACCGGCUAACUUCGUG
rnacentral:rRNA from 1 species